ACUCUUAACAUAUAAAUGACCUGUUGCAAUGUACUCAGGAGCAGCAUAGCCAUAUGUUCCCAUAACUCUAGUUGUCACAUGUGAGUCGCCACCUGAAGGCCCAAAUUUUGCCAAGCCAAAAUCUGAUAUUUUUGCAUCGUAAUUCUCCCAUCAAGCAGUAUAUUUGAGGCCUUGAAAUCUCUGUAAAUGACUUUCUUAUCUGAAGUAUGAAGAAAAGCAAGACCUCGAGCUGCUCCAAUAGCUAUCUUGAGCCGUAAGUCCCAAGACAAGGGUUCAAUAGCAGGAUUCCUUCUGAAAAGAUGAUUCUCCAAGCUUCC
rnacentral:misc_RNA from 1 species